rnacentral:rRNA from 1 species
AGACUUGAGUAGAGUAGAGGCAAGUGGAAUUCCUAGUGUAGCGGUGGAAUGCGUAGAUAUUAGGAGGAACACCAGUGGCGAAGGCGGCUUGCUGGGCUCUUACUGACGCUGAGGAACGAAAGCGUGGGUAGCAAAUAGGAUUAGAUACCCUAGUAGUCCACGCCGUAAACGUUGAGUACUAAGUGUCGGAUUUUCCGAGUGCUGAAGUUAACACAUUAAGUACUCCGCCUGAAUAGUACGGUCGCAAGGCUGAAAUUCAAAGGAAUUGACGGGUCCCCGCACAAGCGGUGGAGCAUGCUGUUUAAUUCGAAGAUACGCGAAGAACCUUACCUGGACUUGACAUCCCUCGGACCGCUCUAGAAAUAGAGCUUCCCUUCGGGGCUGAGGUGACAGGUGGUGCAUGGUUGUCGUCAGCUCGUGUCGUGAGAUGUUGGGUUAAGUCCCGCAACGAGCGCAACCCUCGUCGUUAGUUACUAACAUUAAGUUGAGGACUCUAACGAGACUGCCGGUGAUAAACCGGAGGAAGGUGAGGAUGACGUCAAAUCAUCAUGCCCCUUACGUCCAGGGCUACAGGCGUGCUACAAUGGCAGGGAUAAUGAGUCGCAAUACCGUGAGGUGGAGCUAAUCUAUAAACCUAGUCUCAGUUCGGAUCGAAGUCUGCAACUCGACUUCGUGAAGUUGGAAUCGCUAGUAAUCCCGAAUCAGAAUAUCGGGGUGAAUACGUUCCCGGGGAUUGUACACACCGCCCGUCAAACCAUGAGAGUCUGUAAUACCCGAAGCCGGUAGCCUAACCUUUUAGGAAGGAGCCGUCGACGGUAGGAUGGAUGAUUGGGGUUAAGUCGUAACAAGGUAUCCCUACCGGAAGGUGGGGAUG